rnacentral:rRNA from 1 species
GACGAACGCUGGCGGCGUGCCUAAUACAUGCAAGUCGAACGCUUCUUUUUCCACCGGAGCUUGCUCCACCGGAAAAAGAGGAGUGGCGAACGGGUGAGUAACACGUGGGUAACCUGCCCAUCAGAAGGGGAUAACACUUGGAAACAGGUGCUAAUACCGUAUAACAAUCGAAACCGCAUGGUUUUGAUUUAAAAGGCGCUUUCGGGUGUCGCUGAUGGAUGGACCCGCGGUGCAUUAGCUAGUUGGUGAGGUAACGGCUCACCAAGGCCACGAUGCAGAGCCGACCUGAGAGGGUUGUCGGCCACAUUGGGACUGAGACACGGCCCAAACUCCUACGGGAGGCAGCAGUAGGGAAUCUUCGGCAAUGGACGAAAGUCUGACCGAGCAACGCCGCGUGAGUGAAGAAGGUUUUCGGAUCGUAAAACUCUGUUGUUAGAGAAGAACAAGGAUGAGAGUAACUGUUCAUCCCUUGACGGUAUCUAACCAGAAAGCCACGGCUAACUACGUGCCAGCCGCCGCCGUAA